UACAGAGGGUGCAAGCGUUGUUCGGAAUUACUGGGCGUAAAGGGGAGGUAGGUUGUCUCGUGCGUCUGGGGUGAAAGCCCUGAGCUUAACUCAGGAAGUGCCUCGGAUACGACAAGACUAGAGUCCUGGAGAGGGUGGUAGAAUUCCCGGUGUAGCGGUGAAAUGCGUAGAGAUCGGGAGGAAUACCAGAGGCGAAGGCGGCCACCUGGACAGGUACUGACACUCAACUCCGAAAGCGUGGGGAGCAAACAGG
rnacentral:rRNA from 1 species